ACAUGCAAAUUUUUUCAUCAUAUGAAAGUAAGCAAUGGAAGAUAAAUAUGAAAAUAAUUUUAAUAUUAAAAUCAUACCUUGAUCUAAUCAAGAAAUCACCUAAGGAUUAAUUAACAUAUAUAAAUAAUUUUUUUAAAUAGAUCUAAAAUCAGAAAGAAAAAUAAUUAGUUACCUAAACCGCUAUCCUUCUUCUUCCUCGAAUCGGAUCCUGUUGAUGUUCUAGGUUUCUAAUGUAGCCACGCAAGCAUCCGACCUCUGUUGGUAUCUAUAUAAAGAUGACCUAAUCAGAGCACCGAGGUCAUCAGAGUGCAGCAUCUUGUAGGCCUCGCUCCUUGGCUUGGAUCUGGAGUUCUUCUUCUAGAUCUCAAAAAAGAGAAUUUGCAGCACGAACCCAUCAUGCUGAUCUGACGGGAUCUAAUCAAGACCACUAAGAAGAGAUGAAGAAAUCCUUUUUUUCUUCUCUUCUUCUCUCUCUAGACUCUUUCUCUAUCAAAUCAGAUCUGAUGAGAAGAGGUGGGGUAUUG
rnacentral:lncRNA from 1 species